UAUGGUUUGAAAUAAGUACCUAGACCAUGAUAUGAAAGACUUAAUAAAUUUUUGCUAGAAAAUAAUUCUUUUAAGAGAAAAAGUAGAUACUACUCUUUUCAUAAAAAAAAUUUGAUGAUAUUCUUGUUAUACAAAUAUAUAUUGAUGAUAUUAUAUUUGGGUCUACUAAUAAAAUUUUAUGUCAAAAUUUUUUCAAGCUCAUACAGG
rnacentral:lncRNA from 1 species